UGGCGAACGGGUGAGUAACGCGUGAGUAACCUGCCCUGGAGUGGGGGGCAACAGUUGGAAACGACUGCUAAUACCGCAUAAGCCCACGGUACCGCAUGGCACUGAGGGAAAAGGAUUUAUUCGCUUUAGGAUGGACUCGCGUCCAAUUAGCUAGUUGGUGAGGUAACGGCCCACCAAGGCGACGAUUGGUAGCCGGACUGAGAGGUUGAACGGCCACAUUGGGACUGAGACACGGCCCAG
rnacentral:rRNA from 1 species